rnacentral:rRNA from 1 species
CCACACCUAAAAUCUUUCCACGUGACUGUUUUGCUGUUUUUGUUGGGGCUGUUCUGUUCUGUUGUGCUGCUUUUUUGCGGUGGGGCGGGGCGGUUUGGCCUAUCAACUGGGUUGUUGUGUGAGGGGAGCUAGCCUUUGUGGCGGGUACCUGUUGCGUGGCGCCUGGUUUGUUUUAAACCCAUUUGAAAUGACUGAUUUAUAUUGCGGGGGAGAAAUCCUUUGCUCUUAACUAGAUACAACUUUCAGCAGUGGAUGUCUAGGCUCGCACAUCGAUGAAGAACGCUGCGAACUGCGAUACGUAAUGCGAAUUGCAGGAUUCAGUGAGUCAUCGAAAUUUUGAACGCAUAUUGCACUUCCGGGUUAUGCCUGGGAGUAUGUCUGUAUCAGUGUCCGUACAUCAAAGUUGCCUCUCUUCCUUCCGUGUAGUCGGUGGAUGGGGAUGGCAGAUGUGAAGUGUCUUGUGUGGUGGCAGCGCGCUUUGUGUGCUGACUGUCUGUCAAGUCCUUUUAAAUGUACCGUGUUUCUUCUUUGGCUCGAACUGGUGUCUUUCGCGUGCUAUUUUUGCGGCAUGCCGGGGACCUGUUGUGAGGACGUUUAGGAGAUCGCUUUCGAUUCGUGGUAUGUUAGGCUUCGGCCGGACAGUUCACUUAUUGUUAGUGUUUUCCUGUUUUCUCGACUGGGUGUACUGGUAGUUGUGGGAAUUUUUGGCGUGUGAAUGUUGUCUGUAGUAGAGUGCCUUGGUUUGAUUGUCUUGGCGGAGCGACGCAAAGUUUUUGGGAGUGUGGCUGUUUGCUUAAGUGCUUUCGGCUUGCAUCUCAA